UAACCGGAGAAGCGAUUCUCUGCUGAACCGCCAGAAGUCAGCCGAGGUCAUAGUACCGGCUUUUCUCGAGGAAGUCGGGAAGGAC
rnacentral:ncRNA from 1 species